rnacentral:misc_RNA from 1 species
CUUGGUCAUGUUCUGACUAGUAGGGUUGUUGGUAACAUACCAAUCUCCGGAGGCAAAGGAGGCGUUGCCCCCGUGAAUGGUCUCCCAUACCCGAAUCGUGCCGGCAACAAGAUUACCGCACCCGCCGGGAACACCUGCUGGCGGACAGUCAUCACCGCCUGGAAUGCCUCCAUGGAAAAGGUCAUACGGGAGUAUGAAUGACUGUGUGUCGCCGCUCCACGCGCCGGAUACCCUCCCGCUCCAUGGAGCAUUCUGAUUUGUGCAGUUGCUCAC